UGAAUAACCUGCGGCUUCUAACAACCCAAGACCUAUAAUAAACUGAGACUCCUAGCAACCCAGGUCUCCUAGCAACCUGGGGACUCUAAUUAUCAGAGACUCCUAGCAACCGGGGAGAUUGUACAACCUGGGGGCCCGGCACACGUCCACCCCUGGUCCCAGACUGCUUCCCACUCUGCAGGGACUGCCCACUGAACCUUGAGGGGCAGUGUGACCUAAGAGACAGAGGCAGAAUUGGGAACCGAUGGCCUGUGUUCUGAUUUGACCACUCACUACAUAUAUAGCCUUUGGCUUAACCUCCCUAUCAGUUUCCUCACAUAUAAAAUGAUAAUGAUUAUAAUAUCUUGCUCAGAAAACUAUUAUGAGAGUCAGGUUUGAGUGUCAAGAUUGGGAACGUGGGGAAGUGGAUGGGGAGAGCAAAAAGACUGCUCAUCAGUGGUGCAGUCUGACAUCCACAUCUUGUCAAUGUGAGGACAGCAAUCCCCAACGGGAAAACCAACCGCCCCAGGGCCCACAGCAAGAAUAAAAGCGGAUGCCACUGCAGAGAGCAAGGAAGUGGAGAGGCCACAUGGGAAGGGGCUGGCCUUUGGCUCAGUUCUAGAAAUAGCAACAGCCUACUUGCCCAAAAGGCACCGCCGAGACUGUGCUAGCAAAUCAGUAAUGAUAAGCGUCACAAUGCCCCCCCGCCCCACAGGACGCUGUGACCUGAGAGCCAGAUGUUCCAUUAGACAACAAUCUCCUGCACCUGAGUCAGAGGCACGCAAGGAGUGAGAGUUGCAGCAACCCAGCCGGUUGGGGCUGAGUCGUGGAACAAAUCGGGGUUGUUUGCUACCCGUUGUCUGGCUCUGCUGGCUGUCAGGUGUGACCCAAGGCAUCCUCUAUACCUGGUUUCUAGGAGGUGCCCCUUCUGGACCCCAUAUUGAGACCCAACCUUCAGGAAGGCCUGCUCCUUCUUAACCAUGGCUUCAGAUCCCCGGACCCUGGAGGAGGAAGAGCUCCAUGAAAUCUCCUAGAAGAGGGGUGGUUGUCAAAUGAUAGUCCAUGACAUCGGGAGACUCUGCAGAGACAUCCCAGGAGGCCCUGCAGGGGAGUAGAGGGCAGGAUUCAGCCCACCCCCCACAUCUAUCAGAACAGCUUCGCUCUUGUCUAUAUUAUAUAUUCAAACUCCACGUAAGGAUUUGUUUGAAGAAAAGUUCUGAAGCUAAAAAAGUUGAUGCCUGUGCUAGAUGGAUUAUUGGUCUCAGACCUUCACUCCCCUGUGGGAGCGUUGUACACCCACAUUCUUACCGUGGCUUCACGGUGGACAGAGUGUAUAUCCCCAUGCUUGGACCAUUGGGAUGAUUGCAUGACACUAGCAAAGACUUGCAAUGUGCUCGUGCCACUGGACCAACCCUCUAGAACCCCUUCCUUUUUCAAUGAGAAAAGUUUGCCCCAGUUAGCUACAAGCCCAAGGAGGCACGUGGAGAAGACCUGGACCCAAACUACAGCGAGAAACCAAGCUGAGCUGAGCCCACUACAAACCAGCCAAACCCUAGCCAACAUGCAGGCCUAUAAGCCCAAAAUAAAUACUUCUUAUAAGCCAUUGACAUUUCAAAGUUGUUUGUCAUACAGCAAAUAACUAACCACACAAUGCUUUUGAAGAACCCUUCCCAGCUUUCAUUUUAACAAAGAAUCUGGGCCCUUGG